rnacentral:rRNA from 1 species
UUGGAGGGCAAGUCUGGUGCCAGCAGCCGCGGUAAUUCCAGCUCCAAUAGCGUAUAUUAAAGUUGUUGCAGUUAAAAAGCUCGUAGUUGAAUUUCGGGAUCAAUUUGCUGGUCGUGCCUUUGGUACGUACUGGUAUUAUUGGUUUCUCCUUUCUGAAGAACUGCGAUGUCAUUAAUUUGGUGUCGUAGGGAAUCAGGACUGUUACUUUGAAAAAAUUAGAGUGUUUAAAGCAGGCUUACGCUUGAAUACAUUAGCAUGGAAUAAUGAAAUAGGACGUUUGAUUCUAUUUUGUUGGUUUCUAGGAUUGACGUAAUGAUUAAUAGGGAUAGUUGGGGGCAUUAGUAUUCAAUUGUCAGAGGUGGAAUUCUUGGAUUUAUUGAAGACUAACUACUGCGAAAGCAUUUGCCAAGGAUGUUUUCAUUAAUCAAGAACGAAAGUUAGGGGAUCGAAGACGAUCAGAUACCGUCGUAGUCUUAACCAUAAACUAUGCCGACUAGGGAUCGGAUGAUGUUAAUUUUUUAAUGACUCAUUCGGCGCCUUACGGGAAAC